GGGAGUGUGGCGGAAUGGUAUACGCGUUGGACUUAAAAUCCAAUGGUCUUAUGACCUUGAGGGUUCGAGUCCCUCCACUCCCA
rnacentral:tRNA from 1 species